ensembl:lncRNA
CCACCCUGACUGCAGCCCGAGAUAAAUGCAGCGCCAGGCUGCGCCCACCGCACCGCCGCCUGCUUUUUCCCCUCGGGGUUAGCAGGAGUGGGGCGGGGGUCCGGGCAGCCUCCACCCAGCAGCUGCUGUCGUUUGCUGGGGUCGUGCUGCUGUGCAGCCAUGGCAUCUAUGGGAAAACUGAGUUUUUCUCUCGUCGUUUUGCUCAGGGAGGAGAGAGGUGGUGCAGGGGAGCAUUUCAGAGUCUUCUUCAUCACCGUUGCCCAAAAUGCUGACAGUGGUGCCAAGUGAACACAGCACGGCUGGUGGGGCAGGAGGGAGCUGAGCCCCCCAUCUGCUCCUCCAUCCCUGUGGGGUUCCUAAAGGUGUUCCCAGGGGGUUCUGUGCAGGAGGCAUGGCCACCAGCCUCCAGAGGACUGUUGUACAGCACGAGACCAGCACACAACAUGACGACAUGGCACAACAUUUGACCACUGCACUACGUGGGACCAUUGCACAGCAUGAGGUCACUCCACAACCUGAGACCACUGCACCACGUGGGACCAUUGCACAGGGUGAGACUAUUGUACCACCUGGGAUCACUGCACUACAUGCGACCGUUGCACAUCCUGAGACCACUGCCCUAAGUGAGAGCACUGCACAGCCUGAGACCACUGCACCACGUGACACCGUUGCACGAAGUGGGACCAUUGUGCAACCUGGGACUGCUGCACAACACGACACCAUUGCACAGCAUGGGACCACUGCACAGCCUGAGAACAUUGCAUGAGACUCACCUCGGCAUCUUUACUGAGCAGAUUUCCCAACGGAUCCUUCCCCGGAAUAAAUCACAUCACUCCUACAAAAGGAAGAAACAGGGAGGAACCACAUAGCAGAAUUUUAGCUGAAGCAGCCCAGUGCCAUCCCGUGAACAUCAGAGCCCUAUCAGUGGGUUUGCCUCAAGGCCAGGAGAAGCAGCUGAGACAGGGUGUGUUGGAAGGACAGACGUGAUUGCCAUCUCUGCAGCACGUGAUUAAUUAAUGGAUUAUCAUAGAAUGGUUUGGGCUGGAAGGGACCUCUAAGAUCAUCUCGUUCCAACCCCCUGCUAUAGGCAGGGACGCCUCCCUCCACACCAGGUUGCUGACAGCCCCAGCCAGCCUGGCCUUGACUGGAUGGGACUUCGAGCAACCCAAUCUGGAGGGAAAGCCUGGGAAGGCCUGCAGCCAAUCCACGACCCACCCCGGGAAUGCACCUCGAGGAGCUCCUGGGUCCCCUCUGCAGGCCCACAGGUGGGGUGUUGAGGACUGUGCAUCUCCUGAGCGCCCGCAUUCACUUCCACUGUCUCUUCGUUAACUUUGUACCGCUGAGAGUGACUGUUCUUACUGAUGACUCCUUUCAAGUCCCUGUGAUCGCUGUGUUCCCUAAUUAGCUGGUACAAAUUGCUGUUGUUCUCAGCGCAAUAUUCAUGGGUAUAUCCAGUACUUCGUUGGUAGCGUUUUAAAAUUUAUUGAAGCAUUUACUUCUUUUUAUUUAACCAGAGAAAGCAGACAGAACAUAAUUCCCCAUUAGACAUCGUUUUAGGAGGCAAAUCAAUAGAAGAAAUUGCAUUUGGUUAAAAUGUUUAUGCAGUUAUAUCACUCAGCGUCAUAAGCAUUGAUUCUAAUUAAUAGUAUCUUGUGUGCAGUGCAAGAAGCCACAGCUGACCAUAAGGAUGGCUCACAUUUCAGCUGGCGCUCUAUUGCCCAGGUCCUGGCAGAGCUAUUCAGGUUGGCACCAGGCAAUGACUUUGCCCCUCCGAUCACAGAUAGACCCUCAGCUCCGAAAUGCAGCCAUGGAGUCGCUUCUUCUGCAGCUCUCUGGUGGUCCAAGUACAAAUCUAUUUGGUUCUCACUCUCAUUCAGUGGGGCUCGCUGUGCUGGGACCAGCAAGCAGAUGUUGGCCAUAAGGAUGUGAGCAGAGGGAGGAGCAUCUUUUCCCAGAUCAGAGACAGUCUGAUUAUUGAACGCUCAUCCCUGCAGGCACUCAAGGCCAGGCUGGAUGUGGCUCUGGGCAGCCUGGGCUGCUGGUUGGGGACCCUGCACAUAGCAGGGGGUUGGAUCUGGAUGAGCAUUGUGGUCCUUUCCAACCCAGGCCAUUCCAUGGUUCUAUGAUGAUUCUAUGAUUAUUGGGAUGUCAAAAUCUAAGAUAGCAUGAGUAGGGGAGACACAGAUGUUCAAGGCUUUGUAGUGCUCCUCUUCAGAUGCAAACACUAUGCCAAAAGUGUUCCUGUCUCGUAGAGGACACAUCGACAUGACCGGGUCACACUGGUGACAUCCCAGUGCACACAGGAAAGAGUUUGAUAGAACAUUGACCCACUGAUACUGCAGCCUCUUCAGGAGGAAGGAGCACCACAAGUAGCUCUAUGGUGGCCAGCCUCAUGCCAGUCCUGGUGGCCAUGGAGCUUGUCACGAUGGAUGUACGCUGCAUGGGCUGUGCGUGUGAUAGCACACAAAAUUUGGAGAAGGAGUGGAAGGAACGCAUCUAUCUGAGGCACUGCACCAAGGGGAUGAAUCCCAGGCUCUGGCCCUACAGCCUGGGGCUGCACCGGGAUGGCUCCCUGCAGGAUGCAGACUGGACCCAGAGCACAGAUGCGAUCCCAUCGGUGCCACCCUGAGGAGCCACGCCAGCUGCAGCACAGCCUUCACCACAACGUCUGCUGGUGGAACAUCAGCUGCAGCCCACAGGGAGCCCAGGGGCUGCUCCUCCUGCCUGAGCCACAGCCUUCAUCUGAAAUAAAAGCACCACUUAAAAUGUAAUUUAAAACAAAAGCAGUGGGACGAAUCUGGUCAGGCCUAAGGCCAUCUAUGGCAACAGCACACUGUGUCCCAGAGCAGUUUUUAUUUGUGCUAAUUGCCAUUAUAAUAACGACUGCUGUGGCUCAGCUGUAUAUUUGAGCUCUGUGGGAUCUACGUUCCGGGCAACGUUGUGUUUCACGAUCCAUGAAUCAUUCUGAUUGCAAUAAGGCUGUCAGCCCACAACCAUCCCAAUUUAUGAUCCUAUCUCAGCUGUCCCAAGAAGCUCUGAUGGCAGUGUCCUUCCAGGGGGUGGGGUCAGUGUGAGGAGCACACUGAUGGAAAUUCCUCCCUUGGUUCAGCUGGGAGUGCCUCAUUUUUCAUAGAAUCAUAGAACCAUAGAAUGGCCUGGGUUGCAAAGGCCCACAGUGCUCAUCUCAUUCCAACCCCCUGCUAUGUGCAGGGUCGCCAACCAGCAGCCCAGGCUGCCCAGAGCCACAUCCAGCCUGGCCUUGAAUGCCUGCAGGGAUGGGGCAUCCACAGCCUCCUUGGGCAACCUGUUCAGUGCGUCACCACCCUCUGGGGGAAAAACUGCCUCCUCAUAUCCAACCUAAACCUCCCCUGUCUCACUUUAAAACCAUUCCCCCUUGUCCUAUCACUAUCCACCCUUGUAAACCCUCUGAUCACCUGAUGGUGGCUCAAGCUCAGCAAUACACUCUGGCUCAUUUAUAAAAACACCAUGCAAUAUAUGUGAUAUACUUCAUCUCAAGAAUUAAGACAGAUGGACAGAUGGUUUUUUUCCCUGUGUAUAAACUCUGUCACCCUCCCACAGCAGAUAAAUGAUCUGAUUGAUCUGACUUAGACUCAACGGACUCCUUCAAGUUUCUGCUCUUCUUCUUCAAAGAAGGACGUUCAAGGAACAUUUGGACAUUCUGUUGAGGGACGUGGUUUAGUGAGAGCCAUUGGUGAUGGGUGAAUGGUUGGACUGGAUGACCCUGUGGGUCUUUUCCAACCUUGGUGAUUCUAUGAUUCCAUGAUUCACUCACCAAAAUCAUUCAUUUGUGCACACAUUUUCUAGGGAUUUGGGUUCAAAUUUACCCUGGAGUUCAAGCCAUCUGGAUGUGGGGCUUGGGGACAUGAUUUAGUGGAGGGCUGUUAGAGUUAGGGUAGGAUGGUUGGGUUGUGGUUGGACUUGAUGAUCUUUAAGGUCUUUUCCAACCUGAGCAAUUCUAUGGUUCUAUGAACAUCCCAGGGAGACCCUGACCACGAAUUGCUGGAAGCUGGGAGGUGUGAUGGAGCACACAGCAAUCCAUCCCAUGAAGCUAAACAGCCCUAACCCUGACCCUAACCCUGUGCUGGCUCCUUACCCUUUCCUCCUGGCCAUGAUCAGGCCACUCUUUUUGCUGGAAGUUUCUUCCCUCUGGAGCAAUCAGACCACUUUUUGACCAGGCUCAGGGAUGUGUAUUUUCUCUGCCUUUUCCAGGCUUCUAAUAUUUCUUCCCUCACCAUUGUGUCUGAAUGGCAGUGAAAAGGUAAAGCUGCUUUUUUUAGCAUUGCUCGAGGCCAAGAUUAGAUCAGUCAUCAAUCUCAGUAUAUUACCACAAAAUAGAUAUAAGAGCACUGCCUUUGUCAGAGGUUCUCUGGAUUUGGGAUGGUUUCAGUGCAAAAUGUCAGGGUCUGAAUGCAGCACAGGAGGAGCUUGUGGCACUCCAGAGACUCUGUGCUCCCAGCUCUGUGUCUUCAAGAGAUAUCAGUAAGGCUUCUGCUGAUUGCCAACAGCAAGAUGCAGGAUCCGAAAGAUAACAUCCAUCAGUUGAGUGACUUCUAAGCAGAUGUGGGUAAAUGAUGCCCUGUUUUCCUAUGCCAUGGAGCAUCUGCUGUGACCAGUGCAGCAGAAUCAGGGCUUGUGUUUCCCAUGCUCUUUGUGUCUAGAGAUCUGUAGAUAUGUUUUAUAUGAGUUGUAUGGAGUCCCAAGGGAGGAUUUACCACAUAGCCCUGCAACCCCUGCACUGACAUGCUCAGCCAGAAGCCUCAGCUGCUAUUUAUUGCUUUACACUGCAAACACUGCACAUGCAAGGAUGCACUCCCUGCCCAUUAAUUCAGUUCAGAAUGGUCUUUGCCUGGGUCAGCCUCUGUGCUUAAUUUCUUUUUAACCUCACCAUUUGCAAGAGACAGAAAUGGAUGAUUCCACCCCAUACUAAUCAUGCAGUGGAAGAGGGGGGUGCUCAGCUGAAGGAGGGGCUGUGGUGAGCCAGGCACUGUCACAGCUCAGGCCAAAUAACAGACGUUGCUGUACACUGACACAUCUCGUUGGUACAAACUUCCCAUUUCACACCAUCAAUAACACAAUAAAUCCAAUUGGUGCAGACUUCAGACCUUCUAUGCACGUAUAUGGAAACGCAACACCCGGAUCACCAGCUGCAGUUCUGCUCUUUAUGGUGCUUACAGACACAGUCCUGCUGCUGGACCCCAAAGCAGCAGCACAGGGUCUGGUUGCUGCUGGGGAAGCCAUCCCUGCACGGCAGGCAGCCACAUGCUCAGCACAGAUGAGGGCAGAUGGACACAUUCCCUUUUGUGCACGGUUGGGAGCAGAGGGAAAACGAGGCAGAAGCUCUCCAGGGAGGGAUGCAUCUUCAAACCACAUGGAAGCCCCCAGCCCUGCUCUUGCCCUGCAGACCGAGGGAUGGAUGUCCCUCCCUGCCAGAGCCGGGCUCCGAGGCGACCAACAGAGCAUCCAAAAAAUGCAAACUCUCGAUCCCACGGGCAUUGCUGGGAACAGAAAUGUGAGAUGCCAUGAAUCUCAGAGCCGUUCCCAUCCAGCUGUGUUUAGUGGUGAAGAUUGUUACCUUUGUUGCACGUUUGAAGGAGGUUUGUAGUUCCUCUGACCUCUAACGUCUAAUUAAAGAUAGCAAACUGCAUUCAUAGAAUGGCCUGGGUUGCAAAGGCCCACAGUGCUCAUCCAGUUCCAACCCCCUGCUAUGUGCAGGGUCGCCAACCAGCAGCCCAGGCUGCCCAGAGCCACAUCCAGCCUGGCCUUGAAUGCCUGCAGGGAUGGGGCAUCCACAGCCUCCUUGGGCAACCUGUUCAGUGCGUCACCACCCUCUGGGGGAAAAACUUCCUCCUCAUAUCCAAC